UGUGUGGAUAAAACUACGGC
rnacentral:siRNA from 1 species